UAGCUCAGUGGUUAAGAGCACUGACUGCUCUUCAGAGGUCCUGGGUUCAAUUCCCAG
rnacentral:tRNA from 1 species